AGUCGAACGGCAGCACGGGUGCUUGCACCUGGUGGCGAGUGGCGAACGGGUGAGUAAUAUAUCGGAACGUACCCUAGAGUGGGGGAUAACGCAGCGAAAGUUGCGCUAAUACCGCAUACGAUCUACGGAUGAAAGUGGGGGAUCGCAAGACCUCAUGCUCAUGGAGCGGCCGAUAUCUGAUUAGCUAGUUGGUGGGGUAAAAGCCUACCAAGGCAUCGAUCAGUAGCUGGUCUGAGAGGACGACCAGCCACACUGGAACUGAGACACGGUCCAGACUCCUACGGGAGGCAGCAGUGGGGAAUUUUGGACAAUGGGCGCAAGCCUGAUCCAGCAAUGCCGCGUGAGUGAAGAAGGCCUUCGGGUUGUAAAGCUCUUUUGUCAGGGAAGAAACGGUGAGGGCUAAUAUCCUUUGCUAAUGACGGUACCUGAAGAAUAAGCACCGGCUAACUACGUGCCAGCAGCCGCGGUAAUACGUAGGGUGCAAGCGUUAAUCGGAAUUACUGGGCGUAAAGCGUGCGCAGGCGGUUAUGUAAGUCAGAUGUGAAAUCCCCGGGCUCAACCUGGGAAUGGCAUUUGAGACUGCAUGGCUAGAGUGUGUCAGAGGGGGGUAGAAUUCCACGUGUAGCAGUGAAAUGCGUAGAGAUGUGGAGGAAUACCGAUGGCGAAGGCAGCCCCCUGGGAUAACACUGACGCUCAUGCACGAAAGCGUGGGGAGCAAACAGGAUUAGAUACCCUGGUAGUCCACGCCCUAAACGAUGUCUACUAGUUGUCGGGACUUAAUUGUCUUGGUAACGCAGCUAACGCGUGAAGUAGACCGCCUGGGGAGUACGGUCGCAAGAUUAAAACUCAAAGGAAUUGACGGGGACCCGCACAAGCGGUGGAUGAUGUGGAUUAAUUCGAUGCAACGCGAAAAACCUUACCUACCCUUGACAUGUACGGAACCUCUGAGAGAUUAGAGGGUGCUCGAAAGAGAGCCGUAACACAGGUGCUGCAUGGCUGUCGUCAGCUCGUGUCGUGAGAUGUUGGGUUAAGUCCCGCAACGAGCGCAACCCUUGUCAUUAGUUGCUACGAAAGGGCACUCUAAUGAGACUGCCGGUGACAAACCGGAGGAAGGUGGGGAUGACGUCAAGUCCUCAUGGCCCUUAUGGGUAGGGCUUCACACGUCAUACAAUGGUACAUACAGAGGGCCGCCAACCCGCGAGGGGGAGCUAAUCCCAGAAAGUGUAUCGUAGUCCGGAUUGUAGUCUGCAACUCGACUACAUGAAGUUGGAAUCGCUAGUAAUCGCGGAUCAGCAUGUCGCGGUGAAUACGUUCCCGGGUCUUGUACACACCGCCCGUCACACCAUGGGAGCGGGUUUCACCAGAAGUAGGUAGCCUAACCGCAAGGAGGGCGCUUACCACGGUGGGAUUCGUGACUGGGGUGAAGUCGUA
rnacentral:rRNA from 1 species